UUUGCCCUCAAAGAGCUACAGAGACCUUUUCCAAACCAACCCCAGGGUUAGGUUAGUCCUGCUCCCUUCUGCUUUCGGGGAUUGAAAUCCUCCACCCUUAUCUCACCCUUAUCUCACUGUCUCCUUUUAUUCACCUGUUUUGGCAUCCUGUCCCUGGCCAGCAGGUCCUGACUCGAGGAUGUGCCCAGUAAUUCUGCACGGUGGAGCGUUCCCAGAGAUGGCGCUAGGAUUAGGGGAAAACCUCUUCCCUCGCUGCUGUGAUUCCGGAGAGGAGAUAAUGGGAUUACCCGCCAAGUCCCUCUGAUGCAGAGCCUACACGGGAGGAACGAUUCCGCAUUGUUUUGUCUCCCCGUGGAUUCCCACACCCUGCCAGAGACACACCUGGAGAUGUUCUGCCUCUGUUCAGGGAUUUUUCAGUUAUUUUCCCCCCUGAUUUCCGUGUGUAGUCACCACAGAGAUUAAAAGAGGGCCUUUACCCAAGGGACUGCAGGAAGGGCAUCCUGAAAGUGUUUAGAAAUGGGGGGAACAGUUCCCCUGCCGGGAAUCCUGGAGCCAAAUAUCAAAUGUAAGGAAUGGGGUGAAGGGAUUGGGAGGGUGUGGAACUGUCCCCAGGUGGGGAUCCCCCCCAGGCAGCGUGCAGACCCUGUUUGACAAAUCCUGCCCAUGGCACAACUCCAACCUAUUCUGCAGAAAGCAUGGCCCUGGCAGGUGCUGAUGGCAGCAAAACAAAUGUGGAAUAGGUUGUGAUAAAGGGAGUUCUCCUGGGAAGUGGAAAAAGCAGCGAUAAAUAUCUUGGAAGGGUUGGAUCACAGGAAGAGUGAAGAUGUGUUUGUUGGAGCACUUGGGGACCCUCCUCCAAUGCAUCACAUGUUUCAUCUGGGGGCCUGAUGGAAGCCUAAGAUUUCAGUUUAGUUUGUUUUCUUUUUUUCUUCUCAGCAUUCUCCUCUCCAAAGAUAGACAUUUGCCUGUCCCAAGGAGUCACAAUAAAUUCGGUUUUAUUUUGGGACCUCUGUUCUGAACGUGGUGAAGGAAGAUGCGAUUUCUUCCCCUCUCAGCUGAUCUGGGUUAGAACCAGGUGGCUCCAUCUCCUCCUUAUCUCUGGCUCCUUCUGCUGCCAGGUACCUUCCUGCCCAACCUUUUCCUCAGUGUCUGCUUCCCAAGCAUUCACAGCCACAGCCAGGCCUCAGACUUCUCCAUCUUCCCCUGGAGCAGCAGCCACGCUGUGUAGGGCCUGACUCCCUGCCAGGGCUCCCCUCCUGCUCUCCCCAGGAUGCUCUGAACCCCAGCCCCCUUUUGCUGAGCUCCACACAUGCCAUUUGCUCCCAGCAGCUCGGUGACAGGAGCUGUCACCGCCUGGCUCUGGCUGCUGCCAAGGAACGGGGUUUUCACCCAAAACCUCCCUGGCAAACGGCACGGGAGCCACGGCCCAGCCCAGCUGGGGACACUGGCAGGGAGGAGAGCAGGAGGGAGCUGUGUAAUUAAAGAUGGAAAAGCCAUCCCUGCUGCCUUUGCCGUGCAGCAUGAAAUAAGAGCGAGGCUGAGGGGCUGGCUGCCGGCGAUCCGGCUGUGGCAGCGUGAAAAAUGAGGAGGAGCGCGAUAAGAAACUAAUAAUUUAUGUUCCAAGCACAGCCUCGCACCAGCGUGGAGGGAAAUUCAUGCCAAUAACUCCUACUAACUCAGAAAGGCACGCAAUCUUUUAUUGCACAAAUUAUUAACGACCAGGAAAUAAAUGACUCUGUAAUCAGA